rnacentral:lncRNA from 1 species
CCGGUGCCCGCACCUCCGCGGGAGCCAGAAAACCUGUGGCACACCCCCUCCCCCUGCUGCAGGCCUCUGAGGAACGUGUGGAGCCGGGAGGCGGCGGAAGAGAAAAAGUCCCUGGGCUAUACCCACCUCCCCGGGGAAUGUUCUCGAAAGCGUUGCCCUGUGACCUUCAGUUCCUAGGCGCCAGCGAGCGGGAUCUUCUAGGACUAAGGAUGACGCCUGGGAAUCUGACUUUUAAACAACGCCUCAGCCUGAUCCAGCAAUUUCCCUGGCUUGGCUGCUAAUAAUGGAGUGAUGACUUUGGUGGGACUGUAAUGCCAACCUUGAAGGAGGGGAGCUGGUAAAAAAAUACCCCUGAAGCUAUGAAAAUGAGUUUUUGUUUUGGGACUCUCCUUUUCCCUUG